rnacentral:lncRNA from 1 species
AGUGCCGGCCCCGCGGCUGCUGCUCCGGCCCGGCCAGGUGCCUUCGUGUUGAGGCGAAAGGACUGGGCCUCAGUGGGUGAAGGGACCGGGUGGCCCGCUUCCACCUAGGGCAGAGGCUGGAUCGGCCGCGGCGAGGCUGGGCCCAGCAUUACUGGGAGGGGAACUUGAGAGCCGCGGGUUGAUGUUCGGAGCUCAGGCGACGACUGACCACCCACCCUUCCUCGAAGAGGAACAAUGGCUUGGCUGAUGGAAUUUGAGAAAUGGCAGGUGUGAGGACUCUGACCUUCCCAUGAAGCAGGUCAUAAGACCCUCAUGUGAGAGAUGCCCUCUCUAUACCUGGAGAAAAGAAGCAGUCUUAUUUGUGAAGACAGAGAGACGCCAAGAGGAAUCUAAAUGAAUAGGCCUUGGAACCCCAGACGCACGGGCCUUGUGCUGUCGCUGCCGUGGCACCCCUUCUAGAAGGACUCUAUUCUCUAUAACAGAAGUGGGAGCCUUGGACAACUGAACGCCUAUCUCUAGCUCAAGAAAUGUCAGCUCUUUUUUUUUUUUUGAGACUGUCACCCAGUCGGGAGUACAGUGGCGCCAUCUUGGCUCUCUGUAACCUCCACCUCCUGGGUUCAAGCGAUUCUCCUGCCUCAGCCUCCUGAGUAGCUGGGGCUACAGGUAUGCACCAUCACUCCUGGCUAAUUGUUGUAUUUUUAGUAGAUAAUGGGGUUUCACCAUGUUGGCCAGGGUGGUCUCAAACUCCUGACCUCAGGUGAUCUGCCUGCCUCGGCCUCCCAAAGUGCUGGGA